rnacentral:rRNA from 1 species
GAUGAACGCUGGCGGCGUGCCUAAUACAUGCAAGUCGAGCGAACGGACGAGAAGCUUGCUUCUCUGAUGUUAGCGGCGGACGGGUGAGUAACACGUGGAUAACCUACCUAUAAGACUGGGAUAACUUCGGCAAACCGGAGCUAAUACCGGAUAAUAUUUUGAACCGCAUGGUUCAAAAGUGAAAGACGGUCUUGCUGUCACUUAUAGAUGGAUCCGCGCUGCAUUAGCUAGUUGGUAAGGUAACGGCUUACCAAGGCAACGAUGCAUAGCCGACCUGAGAGGGUGUUCGGCCACACUGGAACUGAGACACGGUCCAGACUCCUACGGGAGGCAGCAGUAGGGAAUCUUCCGCAAUGGGCGAAAGCCUGACGGAGCAACGCCGCGUGAGUGAUGAAGGUCUUCGGAUCGUAAAACUCUGUUAUUAGGGAAGAACAUAUGUGUAAGUAACUGUGCACAUCUUGACGGUACCUAAUCAGAAAGCCACGGCUAACUACGUG